AAUUUACACUUUUUAGCAACAAACACAUUUACAUAUACCAUUAAGCAAAUCUAGAUAUAGUAUCAAGCAAAUUUACAUUCAUAAUAUUCCACCAAUUAUAUAGCAUGAAAUUAAAUCCAAAUCAUUGUCACAACUGAAAUAAACAAUGUAACUGAUAGAUGUAAAUGCAACUAGUCGAAUAUUACAACAUAACAUUAUCACUAUUACCUCACAUUAGCAUGCAACAUAACAUAAACUUUAUCCAAAAUACAAAACGAUUGACAAUAUUUACAAUUAGUAGAAAGACAAACAAUCAACAUCUACUAUUCCAUAAUUGCUCUGUUAUAGAUCUACGUAAACUGUCGCCGUGUCUUGAUUCAUCUGCGCCGGCAAUAUUUGGCGGAUCCUCGUCGUCAUCGCCAGU
rnacentral:lncRNA from 1 species